UCCGGCUUAUCACCGGCAGUUUCCUCAGAGUUCUCAGCAUUACCUGUUAGCAACAGAGGAUGAGGGUUGCGCUCGUUGCGGGACUUAACCCAACAUCUCACGACACGAGCUGACGACAGCCAUGCAGCACCUGUGCUCCUCCCACCCGAAGUGAAGAAAAUCAUCUCUGAUUCUCAUAGAGGGCAUGUCAAGGCCUGGUAAGGUUCUUCGCGUUGCCUCGAAUUAAACCACAUGUUCCACCGCUUGUGCGGGUCCCCGUCAAUUCCUUUGAGUUUUAAUCUUGCGACCGUACUCCCCAGGCGGGAUGUUUAACGCGUUAGCUACGCCACUGAGGGGUAACCCCCCAACGGCUAACAUCCAUCGUUUACAGCGCGGACUAC
rnacentral:misc_RNA from 1 species